rnacentral:rRNA from 1 species
UUGUAUUUUUAUAAUAUUAUUAAGGUAAUAUUUAUAAUAUCAACAUCCUUCCUAUUAUAUUUUUAAUAUAUAGGAGAUUUUACUUUGAGAAAAUUAGAGUGCUUAAAGCAGGCAACUGCCUUGAAUACUCCAGCAUGGAAUAAUAAGUAAGGACUUUUGUCUUUCUUGUUGGUUCUAGGAUAAAAGUAAUGGUUAAUAGGGACAGUUGGGGGCAUUCGUAUUUAACAGUCAGAGGUGAAAUUCUUAGAUUUGUUAAAGACGAACUACUGCGAAAGCAUUUGCCAAGGAUGUUUUCAUUAAUCAAGAACGAAAGUUAGGGGAUCGAAGACGAUCAGAUACCGUCGUAGUCUUAACCAUAAACUAUGCCGACUAG